rnacentral:lncRNA from 1 species
UUAGCUAGGGUUUCCCUUGGCUGAUAUUUUUUAGUUUUGUGGGUUGUUUGGGCUUUAGGGCUUUUAGUUUUUUUUUUUGGGUUUUAAUUUGUAUUUGGGCUGAAAUCUGUUUUCGGCUGGUGAGAUAUUUUAAUUUUAUUUUGUCUGAUUUGAGUGUGUUGGGCCAGGAAAAAUUUGGGACUUACAGGAUUUAUUAAUUUCUGUUCUAUUAGUUUUAUUAGAACCGAGAGAACAACUCGUGAGAGCUAAAAGGCAUGAGCGAGUGAGAUUAUUCGAGUGGAAAAAGCCGAUUCGAGUGCAAACACAAGUAGAGCGAUUUUCC